CAAAAAAAGGCAGAAGUGAGAGGGAGAGCGGAGAACGUAUCUCAGACACCCAGAGAAAGAGUGUAAGGGAGAGAGGUGGCGAGAGAGAAAAGAAAGGCAGUCAUGGCUCCUUGGAUGACGACCACAACGGAGCGAUAUGGCGUAGUAACAUGGAAUUUCAUUGGCCGUGGGGUGAAGCAACUGUCUCUGGAGGUUGGGGACACAGUCCACAUCCAGGAGACCUGCGAUGGCUGGUAUAAAGGCUACCUAGUCAGGAACAAGGAUCGACAGGGAGCAUUCCCGGCCAGCAUAGUGCAGCUGAGGAAGGUCAUCAUUGAAAAGCAAGGGGACCAGGAGGUGGUGUUGUCAGCAGAGAUGCCCCUAGUGAAGGAGGUGACCACCACUCUGAGGGAGUGGGGAAGCAUCUGGAAACAACUCUAUGUGACCAAUAAGAAGAAGCGUGUGGUGCAGGUCCAACGGCUGAUGUGGGAUCUGAUGGAAUGGCGUUCCCAGCUCCUGUCUGGCACGCUGCCUAGCGACGAGUUCAAGGAGCUCAAACAGAAAGUCACCUCCAAAAUUGACUAUGGCAACAAGAUCUUGGAGUUGGACCUGGUGGUGCGCGAUGUGAAUGGGAACAUGCUGGACCCAGAGAACGCCAGCGUGAUCAGCCUGUUCAGAGCCCACCAAGAUGCCACCACCAAGAUCAACGAACGCAUCAAAGAGGAACAGUCCAACGUUCAGACGGGCCACUCGGUAAUCUCGGCCCGGAUCCAGUCCUCUCCCACUCACAGCCUCUAUGUCUUCGUCCGGAACUUUGUCUGUCGGAUCGGAGAAGAUUCUGAACUCUUCAUGUCCCUAUACGACCCCAACAAACAGACCAUCAUCAGUGAGAACUACCUGAUCCGUUGGACCAGUAAAGGUUUUCCUAAAGACGUUGACAUGCUGAACAACCUGAAGGUUGUCUUUACAGACCUGGGGAAUAAGGAUUUGAACAGAGACAAGAUCUACCUGAUCUGUCAGAUAGUGAGAGUGGGUCGUAUGGAACUGAAAGAGACUGGCACCAAGAAGUGUACCCUGGGCCUCCGCAGGCCCUUUGGAGUGGCAGUGAUGGACAUCAGUGACAUCAUCAAAGGAAAGAUAGAGUGUGACGAGGAGAAGCAGUAUUUCAUCCCGUUCGUUCCGGUUGUGGCAGAGAAUGACUUCCUCCACUCCCUGCUGAACAAGGUGACAGCAUCGCGGGGAGACAGUGGAGGACAAGGUCUAUGGGUGACGAUGAAGGCCCUGGUGGGUGACAUCGUCCAGAUCCGUAAGGAGUACCCCCACCUGGUGGACCGCAGCACGGUGGUGGCCCGUAAACUGGGCUUCCCAGAAAUCAUCAUGCCGGGGGACAUCCGCAACGACAUCUACUUGACUCUGUGGACUGGGGACUUUGACAAGUACAACAAGACCACCCAGAAAAACAUGGAGGUCAUCAUGAUGGUGUGUGACGAGGAGGGCAAGGCCGUGCCGAACUCUAUCUGUCUGGGAGCCGGGGAUCGGCCGCUGAACGAGUACAGAUCUGUCAUCUACUACCAGGUCAAACAACCACGCUGGAUGGAGACGUUCAAGGUGGCCAUCCCUCUGGAGGAGAUGCAUAGGAGCCACCUGCGCUUCAUGUUCAGACACCGCUCCUCUCAGGAGUCCAAGGAUAAGAGUGAGAAGAACUUUGCCAUGGCGUUUGUUCAUCUGAUGAAGGCGGAUGGAACAGUGCUGCAGGAUGGACUUCAUGAACUGGUUGUCUUUAAGGGGGACAGUAAGAGGAUGGAGGAUGUGAACUCGUACCUGUCCCAGCCCUCUACGCGAAACCAGGGUGACGUUCCAAAGGGGGGGACACUGAGUCGCAGCAGUGUAGGAGUCCUGUCUGUCAGCUCCAGAGACAGCUUCACCGUCUCAACCCUCGUCUGCUCCACCAAACUCACCCAGAACGUGGGUUUGCUGGGCCUACUGAAGUGGAGGACUCGUCCUGAGCUCCUCAAAGAAAACCUGGAGAAACUCAAGAUCAUCGACGGAGAGCAGGUUGUCAAGUUUCUCCAGGACACUCUGGAUGCUCUGUUCACCAUCAUGAUGGAACACUCCCAGACUGACGACUAUGACAUCCUAGUGUUCGACGCCCUGAUCUAUAUCAUUGGUCUGAUAGCAGACAGGAAGUUCCAGCAUUUUAACACGGUGUUGGAGGCCUACAUUAAACAGCACUUCAGCGCCACGCUGGCAUACAAGAAGUUGAUGUCGGUGUUGAAGAGGUAUCUGGAUGUGUCCAGUCGAGGGGAGCAGUGUGAAAACUACCUCCGCACCCUCAAAGCCCUGGAGUACAUCUUCAAGUUCAUUGUCCGCUCACGCAUGCUCUACUCCCAGCUGUAUGAAGGGAAGGAGCAGAAAGAGUUUGAGGAAUCUCUACGGAGACUAUUCGAGUCCAUCAACCAACUAAUGAGGAGUGACCACAACACAACAGUCUUGCUGCAGGUGGCUGCUCUGAAGUACCUACCCACAGUCUUGCAGGAUGUGGAGACAGUGUUUGACGCCAAACUCCUGAGUCAGUUGCUGUAUGAAUUCUACACCUGUAUCCCUGCUGACAAACUGCAGAAACAGAAGGUGUCCUCCAUGGCCGAGAUCGUCAGCAGCAAACUCUUCGAAAAACAGGAGUGCCGGGACAUCCUGCUACCCAUGAUGCUUCGGGAGCUAAGCGAAACGCUGAAGGACAUGGGUCAGGGGCCUCAUGACGACCGGAGGAACAGCGUGGAGCUGCUCAACAACAUCCUGGAGGUCCUCAGCAGAGACAAUGUGGGUGAGACGUUCCAGCAUAUUCAGGACAUUGUGGCCAGUCUCCUCAGGACCAUCAACCGUACGGUCAUUACCAUGGGUCGUGAGCAUGCCCUGAUUUCCAGGGUGGUGGCCUGUAUGACGGCCACUCUGAGUCAGAUGGAUGACAGCCACUAUUCUUGCUACCUAGAGACCUUCUCAGGCACCACCGACCUAGUGGACUUCCUGAUGGAGACGUUCCUACUGUUCAAGGAACUGAUUGGGAAGCACGUCUACCCCUCAGACUGGAUGGCCAUGAUCAUGGUGCAGAACAGGGUGUUCCUCAGAGCCAUCAACACCUACGCUGACACCAUGAACCUCAAAUUCCUCAACAACAAUGACUUUGAAGUGCAGUUGUGGAAUAAUUACUUCCAUUUGGCUGUGGCAUUCAUUACCCAAGAGUCAUUGCAACUGCAGCACUUCUCUCCAACCAAGAGGAACAAGAUCCUGGCAAAGUAUGGAGACAUGAGGAGACUCAUCGGUUUUGCCAUACGGGACAUGUGGUACAAACUGGGUGGGAAUAAGAUCUGUUUUAUCCCUGGGAUGGUGGGUCCUAUCCUGGAGAUGACUCUGAUUCCUGGGGAAGAGCUGAGACGAGCCACCAUCCCCAUCUUCUUCGACAUGAUGCAGUGUGAACACAAACUCUCCUCACACUUCCAAAAGUUUGAGAAUGAGAUCAUUCUGAAGCUGGAUCAUGAGGUGGAGGGAGGAGGAGGAGAUGAGAGAUACAUGGAGCUACUGGAAACCAUACUGUUGGAGUGUGCUGUGGAGCAUCCCUUGUUAAGGCCAGAGGUCGAGCACUUCGUUGACUUGGUGAAGGGACUCCUGGUGCGUCUCCUUGACUACCGCACGGUGAUGAGCGACGACAGCCGCAACAACCGCAUGAGCUGCACCGUCAAUCUGCUGAAUUUCUACAAGGACAUCAACCGUGAAGGGAUGUACAUCAGAUACCUCUACAAGCUGAGAGACCUUCACAUGGCUGUGGAAAACUACACAGAGGCUGCAUACACCCUGUUGCUUCACUCUCGCCUGCUCAAGUGGUCAGAGGACCAGUGCAGUCCUCAGUUUGAGGUGCGUAGCUGUCAGACCCAGCGCCAGCAGAAGGAGAAUCUCUACGAAACCAUCAUCGGGUACUUCGACAAGGGCAAGAUGUGGGAAGAAGCUAUAACUCUGUGUAAGGAGCUGGCUGACCAGUACGAGAUGGAAGUGUUUGAAUACGAGCUGCUCAGCCAGAGUCUGAAGCAGCAGGCUAGGUUCUAUGAGAACAUUAUGACGAUCCUGAGGCCCAAGCCAGACUACUUUGCUGUGGGCUACUACGGACAGGGUUACCCUCCCUUCCUCAGGAACAAGGUUUUUAUCCACCGGGGGAAGGAGUACGAGCGUAGAGAAGACUUCCAGAACCAGUUGAUGAGUCAGUUCCCCAGCGCUGUCCGUCUCAAUAUCACCACCAUGCCUGGAGACGACGUCAGACUCUCCCCUUUGCAGUACAUCCAGUGUUUCACUGUUCAGCCUGUCCUGGAGAUCCCAUCUCGCUUGAAGAGCAAACCCGUCCCUGACCAGAUCAUCAACUUCUACAAGUCCAACUACGUGCAGCGUUUCCACUACUCCAGACCAGUGAGGAAAGGUCCAGUGGAUCCCAGCAAUGAGUUUGUUUCCAUGUGGAUUGAGCGUACCACGUUCACCACAGUGUAUAAACUCCCUGGGAUCCUGCGCUGGUUUGAGGCCACAGACAUGAAACAUACCACCAUCAGUCCUCUGGAGAAUGCCAUAGAGACCAUGCAGAGCACCAAUGACAAGAUCCUCACCCUGAUCAACCAAUACCAGGCCGACGACGCCCUUCCCAUCAACCCUCUCUCCAUGCUGCUCAACGGCAUUGUGGACCCUGCCGUCAUGGGGGGCUUCGCCAAGUACGAGAAGGCUUUCUUCACUGAGGAGUACAACUUGCAACACCCAGAGGACAGAGAUAAGCUGGAGGGUCUCAAAGACCUCAUCGCAUGGCAGAUCCCGUUGCUGGGUGGGGGAAUCUCUCUACAUGGGAAGAGAGUGACAGACGACCUACGACCUUUCCACGAGCGCAUGGAGGAGUGCUUCACGCAUAUGAGGAAGAAGGUGGAGAAGGAGUAUGGAGUGAGGGAGCUGCCGGAUAUGGAUGAGAGGAAGUCAAGUCGUCCGCGCUCUGUCCUUCGCUCCUUCCGUCAGUCCGUCAUCUCCAUCUCUUCCCUCCAGGGGUCUGAGUGUGGGACCCCCACCAAACCUUAUCCAGACAGUGGUCUCCCUGACAUGGCGGCCCCCCAGACCCCCACCCUGCAGCACUCCAGUGGGAGUGUGAGCAUGGUGGAUGAGGGAGGGGCAGAGGGGGAGGUUAAACUCAGGAACUCCAAGAGGAGAAGGAAAAGGAGCAGCAUGAUCUUCAUCCCAGAGGAGAGAGACAGGACCAACACUCUGGACAGCAAAUGGGUGAGAGAGAGCGGAAGAGAAGGAGGUAGACGGUGGGAGAGGGAGAGAGAGAGACAGGACCAACACUCUGGACAGCAAAUGGCUGUCCAAGAAGCAGGAGUUCCGCAGUGACACCAACCUGUCUGAACCUGGCUCUCAAGACAAUGUCUUUCUCACCAACGCCAACUCCAGAUCUCUGCCUGCUAUUACAGGCCAGUCUCUGUCUGUGGCCAAUGGUAGUGAGGAGGCGGAGUCAUCCCGGUUCAGAAGGGACAGUAAGAGUAUGUCUGUGUGUCUUCCUGGAGACCGCACUGCUGACAGACGCUCCAAAGGGGUCAUCAACCUGCUGUUCGGGACCAAGAGCAACAAGUCUGAGCAACAGAGCAACAAGUCGUCUACUGAUCCAAGCAACAGGAAAGCCAGUCAAUUCUAACAGCCAUCCAUCAGACAUGAUGUACCCUCAGUGCCUUUUAACCUGCUCUGCUUUGAAUUCCAGUUACCACCAGGGGCUAUUGCCUUGCUGAAAACUCCUCUUUGGAAAGAGCUAUCUGAUCUUUUCUUUUUUUAUCAGGUUUUAAAGACUUGUUUGCGCUCACACAGGCACAUAGGCACACACACACACACACACACACAAUGAGAGAGAGGCGGAGAGAGAGAGACUGACAGAUUCUCUGAAGAAAUUCAUGCUUUUUAAACUUCUGCUCUCAUAUAUUUUAUAAUCAUUUCAAUAGAGAACAUUUGUAUUAACUGUCCUUCUUAAAGUAAUGGUGUUGGCAAGCAUUCAAUUUAAUUCACUUGAUGAAAUAAUGAGUAAAAAGAUAUCUGAGUCAAUUUCUCCCCAGUGUUUGACAGAGUUGUUUUUUCAAAUGUUAUUGACAAUGUAGCCCUUUCCUGCAUUCAAUGAUCGAAAGCACCCUCUUUGGUCUCAUGAGUGGGAUGUUAUUCGUAUUUUUCAUAAUGUCACAAUAAAGAUAUUUUUUUUAUGAAACUACGAAAAUACGGUGUUUGACUGUCAAAACAGUUUCGCUUUAUAUCAGUCUUCUGUGAUGCAUGUAAAGUGUAAUAUCAGGAUGCAAACUCUACAUGUAAUAGAGUACAACUCUAUAUCUGA